UUCGAGUGGCGGACGGGUGAGUAACGCGUGGGUAACCUGCCUUAUACAGGGGGAUAACACCUGGAAACAGGUGCUAAUACCGCAUAAGCGCACAGGGCCGCAUGGCCCGGUGUGAAAAACUCCGGUGGUGUAAGAUGGACCCGCGUCUGAUUAGCUUGUUGGCGGGGUAGGGGCCCACCAAGGCGACGAUCAGUAGCCGGCCUGAGAGGGUGGACGGCCACAUUGGGACUGAGACACGGCCCAAACUCCUACGGGAGGCAGCAG
rnacentral:rRNA from 1 species